GGGCUCACAGGGAGUAUGGCUACGCCAGGUAGGAGACCUGCGCAAACUCCCUGUGCUUACCGGGGGGCUAGAGAGACCGGGCAGGCACCGUGUUAUGCAGGGGUGCGCACGGUGUCCCCAGUGCGGGUGCAUAGCCCGGUGAGGUAUAUUCCAGCUCCUCGGAUCGGCCGGGCUAGAGUGGGCAUCGAGCCAGGUAAGGUUGGGCAGGCUCGGUGCUCAAGAGCUCCAGUGCGCCUGCACGGUCCGGUCUAUCCAGUACCACCUCCACACCCCAGCCCUCCGGUAGCAGCUCCCCGCACCAGGCUUCCUGUGCGUGUCCUCGGUCCAGUACCACCAGUACCAGCACCACGCAUCAGGCCUACAGUGCGCCUCGCCUCUCCAGCGCUGUCGGAGCCUUUCUCCUCUCCUGCGCUGCCGGAGUCUCCCGCCUAUCUAGCGCUGUUAGAGCUUUCCUCAUCUCCAGCGCUGCCGGAGUCUCCCGCCUGUUCAGCGCAGCCAGAGCCUUCCUCCGACACAGCGCUGCAGGAGUCUCCCGCCUGUUCAGCGCCGCCAGAGCCUUCCUCCUCUACAGCGCUGCCGGAGUCUCCCACCUGUUCAGCGCAGCCAGAGCUGCCAGUCUGCAUGAAGCAGCCAGAGAUGUCAGUCUGCAUGGAGCAGCCAGAGAUGUCAGUUUGCAUGAAGCAGCCAGAGAUGUCAGUCUGCAUGGAGCAGUCAGAGAUGUUAGUCUGCAUGAAGCAGCCAGAGAUGUCAGUCUGCAUGGAGCAGCCAGAGCUGUCAGUCUGCAAGGAGCUGUCAGUCUGCAAGGAGCUGCCAGUCUGCACGGAGCUGCCAGUCUGCACGGAGCUGCCAGUCUGCACGGAGCCGCCAGAGCUGCCAGUCUGUAAGAAGCCGCCAGAGCUGUCAGCCUACAUGGAGCAGCCAGAGCCACCAGCCAGCGUGGAGCAGCCAGAGCCGCCAGUCAGCAUGGAGCAGCCAGAUCUUUCAGUCUGCCAGGAUCCGCCAGUCAGCCAGACUCUUCCAGAUCUGCCAGUCAGCCAGACUCUUCCAGAUCAGCCAGACCCUUCCAGAUCUGCCAGUCAGCCAGACUCUUCCAGAUCUGCCAGUCAGCCAGACUCUUCCAGAUCCGCCAGUCAGCCAGACUCUUCCAGAUCCGCCAGUCAGCCAGACUCUUCCAGAUCCGCCAGUCAGCCAGACUCUUCCAGAUCCGCCAGUCAGCCAGACUCUUCCAG
ensembl:lncRNA